GGCGUACACCGCGACUGGCGCAGCGGGGAGGCCACCCCGAGGGAGCGGUACGCGGCCGUGCCCCGCGCGGCCCUCACGCGGUGCCGCCCGCCUGGGCACCGGGU
rnacentral:ncRNA from 20 species